rnacentral:rRNA from 1 species
UACGUAGGUGGCAAGCGUUGUCCGGAAUUAUUGGGCGUAAAGCGCGCGCAGGCGGUUCCUUAAGUCUGAUGUGAAAGCCCCCGGCUCAACCGGGGAGGGUCAUUGGAAACUGGGGAACUUGAGUGCAGGAGAGGAAAGCGGAAUUCCACGUGUAGCGGUGAAAUGCGUAGAUAUGUGGAGGAACACCAGUGGCGAAGGCGGCUUCUGGUCUGUAACUGACGCUGAGGCGCGAAAGCGUGGGGAGCAAACAGG